UUAGGUAUUUCAGGUUAGGUG
rnacentral:miRNA from 1 species